rnacentral:rRNA from 1 species
UACGUAGGGCGCGAGCGUUGUCCGGAUUUAUUGGGCGUAAAGAGCUCGUAGGUGGUUUGUCGCGUUGUUCGUGAAAACCGGGGGCUUAACCCUCGGCGUGCGGGCGAUACGGGCAGACUUGAGUACUGCAGGGGAGACUGGAAUUCCUGGUGUAGCGGUGAAAUGCGUAGAUAUCUGGAGGAACACCGGUGGCGAAGGCGGCAUCCUGGACCGACACUGACGCUGAGGAGCGAAAGCCAGGGGAGCAAACGGG